rnacentral:rRNA from 1 species
GCAUCUCUCCGGGUUGAAAACUCCGGUGGUUAUAGAUGGACAUGCGUUGUAUUAGCUAGUUGGUGAGGUAACGGCUCACCAAGGCAACGAUACAUAGGGGGACUGAGAGGUUAACCCCCCACACUGGUACUGAGACACGGACCAGACUCCUACGGGAGGCAGCAGUGAGGAAUAUUGGUCAAUGGACGCAAGUCUGAACCAGCCAUGCCGCGUGCAGGAAGACGGCUCUAUGAGUUGUAAACUGCUUUUGUACGAGGGUAAACUCACCUACGAGUAGGUGACUGAAAGUAUCGUACGAAUAAGGAUCGGCUAACUCCGUGCCAGCAGCCGCGGUAAUACGGAGGAUUCAAGCGUUAUCCGGAUUUAUUGGGUUUAAAGGGUGCGUAGGCGGUUUGAUAAGUUAGAGGUGAAAUCCCGGGGCUUAACUCCGGAACUGCCUCUAAUACUGUUAGACUAGAGAGUAGUUGCGGUAGGCGGAAUGUAUGGUGUAGCGGUGAAAUGCUUAGAGAUCAUACAGAACACCGAUUGCGAAGGCAGCUUACCAAACUAUAUCUGACGUUGAGGCACGAAAGCGUGGGGAGCAAACAGGAUUAGAUACCCUGGUAGUCCACGCAGUAAACGAUGAUAACUCGUUGUCGGCGAUACACAGUCGGUG